rnacentral:tRNA from 1 species
GCAGAUGUGGCCGAGUGGUUAAGCGACUGUCUCGAAAUCAGUUUCCAUCUUAGAGCGUAGGUUCGAAUCCUACCAUCUGCG